rnacentral:rRNA from 1 species
GGGGAAUUAACCCUCCAUAAUAUCGAGGGUUGGCAUCAAUCUUCGAUUAAAACUGAGGUGGUACAGGAUGAGCAUGCGUCUGAUUAGCUAGUUGGUAGUGUAACGGACUACCAAGGCGAUGAUCAGUAGGGGAACUGAGAGGUUGAUCCCCCACACUGGCACUGAGAUACGGGCCAGACUCCUACGGGAGGCAGCAGUAGGGAAUAUUGGACAAUGGGUGAGAGCCUGAUCCAGCCAUGCCGCGUGCAGGAAGAAGGCCUUCUGGGUUGUAAACUGCUUUUAUCUGGGUAUAAAAAGGGAGUGCGCUCCCAACUGAAGGUACCAGAUGAAUAAGCCACGGCUAACUACGUGCCAGCAGCCGCGGUAAUACGUAGGUGGCAAGCGUUGUCCGGAUUUAUUGGGUUUA